UCGUGCUAGACGGGGAAGUAGCGGUGCCCUGUACCCGCAAUCCGCUGUAGCGGGGUCGAAUUCCCGUCUGAGGAUUGAUCUUGUAGAGUCUGGUUUAGGUAAGUGGUGUUGACGAUUGGGUCUCACGCAAUAGGAGUCCAUGAACCCCGUCAGGUCCGGAAGGAAGCAGCGGUAAGUGGAUCCCCCUAUGUGCCGUGAGGAAGCCUGAUCCGAGCUAACUGCUUAAAUAACGUCUGGAAGGUCACUUUCGAAGAUGGGUGCACGA
rnacentral:SRP_RNA from 1 species